rnacentral:lncRNA from 1 species
GUCCCUAUGUUGACUCGUUGAAAAAAAUAUAAAUAUGGCCUUCUACAGUUAUAAAACAGUCUUAGCUAUUGCCCGGACAAGAUUCCCUAACCAUUUUGUCCAGCCUACCAGCUCUUCUUACUCCCCAUCAUUUGCAUUGCUUCACUUACCAGAUUGCCAUUUAAACAAAACCUAUAUGAAGAACUAUGGAAGCAAAAAGUUCUCCCAUCCAAGUCAGUUAGGCAAUAAAGUACUUCAUUUACGAGCCAGAAUCUUCCAAGAGCUGCACACUUCAACUUGCUGGUUGCAGGAGGUCCCCAAUAAGCAUCAACAGGAGCAAACAGCAAAGAAGCCUCAGGUGCCAAGCCCUCAGCCCGUGAAAGAAGCGGGCAUGAGGAUUAAGGAAGGAAAGCGAUCUUAUAGACAAAUAAUUAUGGAUGAACUGAAAUAUUAUUACAAUGGAUUCUAUUUGCUUUGGAUUGACACCAAAGUUGCUGCCAGGAUGGUUUGGAGGCUGUUGCAUGGACAGGUGCUGACCAGGCGAGAGAGAAGAAGGCUGCUGAGAACCUGUGCUGAUUUCUUCCGCCUGGUUCCAUUCAUGGUGUUCAUCAUCGUCCCCUUCAUGGAAUUCUUAUUGCCAGUGUUUCUGAAACUUUUCCCGGAGAUGUUGCCAUCAACUUUUGAAAGUGAAUCCAAAAAGGAAGAAAAACAGAGAAAGAAAAUGGCUGCAAAGUUGGAACUAGCGAAAUUCCUUCAAGAAACGAUUACAGAAAUGGCAAAGAGGAACAGGGCCCAGCUGGGGGACGCCUCAACCCAGUUCUCCUCCUACGUCAAACAGGUCCAGACAGGCCACAAGCCCAGCACCAAGGAGAUAGUUCAAUUUUCCAAACUCUUUGAGGAUCAGCUGACCCUGGAGCACCUCGACCGACCUCAGCUGGUGGCCCUUUGCAAACUGCUGGAACUGCAGUCCUUUGGAACCAACAAUCUGCUUCGCUUCCAGCUACUGAUGAGGCUGAAGUCUAUAAAAGCAGAUGAUGAGGUAAUUGCCAAGGAAGGGGUGAAUGCUCUGAGUGUGUCGGAGCUCCAAGCUGCCUGCAGGGCCCGAGGGAUGCUGUCACUGGGCCUCACUGAGGGGCAGCUGAGACAGCAGCUCACAGAGUGGCAGGACCUCCACCUGAAGGAGAAUGUCCCACCUUCUCUGUUGCUCCUGUCCCGGACCUUCUACCUGAUAGACGUGAAGCCGAAGCCGAUUGAGAUACCACUCAGUGGGGAGGCUCCAAAGACAGAUAUUCCCCUGGGAUCACCCACUCCCCCUGAAUCUAAAGAGAACAUGGCCGGUUUAGCACCUCAACUGAAGGGAACUAAGGCAAAAUCAGAGAAGACAACCCAGAACAGCAAGGCUAGUUCGAAUGGAGCAUAA